AGCAAUAGUCGGCUGCUACCAUGCAGUCGAACGCGAAAGUCCCGCAAGGGAUCAGUAGAGUGGCAAACGGGUGAGUAACGCGUGGGCGACCUACCUUCGAGUGGGGGAUAACCUUCCGAAAGGAGGGCUAAUACCGCAUGACAUCCCGUGUUUGGAUACACGGACAUCAAAGCCGGGGAUCGCAAGACCUGGCGCUUGGAGAGGGGCCCGCGUCCGAUUAGCUAGUUGGUGGGGUAAUGGCUCACCAAGGCUCCGAUCGGUAUCCGGCCUGAGAGGGCGGACGGACACACUGGAACUGAGACACGGUCCAGACUCCUACGGGAGGCAGCAGUGGGGAAUUGUUCGCAAUGGGCGCAAGCCUGACGACGCAACGCCGCGUGGAGGAUGAAGACCUUCGGGUCGUAAACUCCUUUCGACCGAGAUGAAUUUCUGCCGGCCUAACACGCUGGCGGAUUGACAGUAUCGAGGGAAGAAGCCCCGGCUAACUCCGUGCCAGCAGCCGCGGUAAUACGGGGGGGGCAAGCGUUGUUCGGAAUUACUGGGCGUAAAGGGUUCGUAGGUGGCUAGCUAAGUCAGACGUGAAAUCCCUCAGCUUAACUGGGGAACUGCGUCUGAUACUGGCUGGCUCGAGUGCAGGAGAGGAACGCGGAAUUCCAGGUGUAGCGGUGAAAUGCGUAGAUAUCUGGAGGAACACCGGUGGCGAAGGCGGCGUUCUGGACUGCAACUGACACUGAGGAACGAAAGCCAGGGGAGCAAACGGGAUUAGAUACCCCGGUAGUCCUGGCCCUAAACGAUGAAUGCUUGGUGUGACGGGUAUCGAUCCCUGUCGUGCCGAAGCUAACGCAUUAAGCAUUCCGCCUGGGGAGUACGGUCGCAAGGCUGAAACUCAAAGGAAUUGACGGGGGCCCGCACAAGCGGUGGAGCAUGUGGUUCAAUUCGACGCAACGCGAAGAACCUUACCAGGCUCGAACUGCAAGUGACAUCCGGCGAAAGCCGGCUCCCGCAAGGCAGUUGCCGAG
rnacentral:rRNA from 1 species